UGUUCCUUCUGUUAGGAGAUAGAAACAGCACAACAUCUGUUCUUUGGUUGCUCGGUUGCCAAAAUAGUAUGGAGAGCGAUUGGGGUGACAUUGGGUACUGAUCUAUGCCCACAGAACCUUUGGCAAUUUUAUUCUUGGUGCCAUUCUUUCCUCCCUGGUUAUGACAACUUUUAUACUGUUGCCCUUGGGGCUGUUACUUGGGCAAUUUGGUUAGCCCGAAAUAGAACCACUUUUGAGAAGAAAUUGAUUAACUCUCCUUUUGAAAUCGUGUUCUCGGUCUGCUCUCUUCUUCUUUAUUGGGCAAGUCUAUAG
rnacentral:rRNA from 1 species